UUGUAAUUUCGUUAGCUGUUUUCAUCUUUUCGUUUUAUGGUUCUGUGGAUUGGUUUUCCUCUUAUAUUGUUUGCAAUUGUUGGGUUGUUCUUUAUGCUUUCCUGGUAAGUUAUUUAGGGUUCUUAACUUCUAUACAUCAAUGGGUCUUUCUCAAAUGGGUCCUUUUUUCUUGUUUUCUUUUUCUAUUUUUUGAUGCGGAAGAUAUGCG
rnacentral:misc_RNA from 1 species